AGUAAGUUGUUUGAGACAGUUCAAAGUCAUAUAAUGUCCGUUGCGCUGUUACCUCAUUCCUGUUUAUAUUUAUAAGAUGAAGUUUCAGCAAUAGAUUAACGAUUAUAGAAUAGAUAAGAUUAUUCGAAGACUACGUUUCUCGAUUUUGCAAUGAAUAUAAUGAUGCAGAUAUUAUAUUUCAGUAAAGUAGAUUGAAAUAUGUUUCUGUGACAGGCGGGUUUAUAUGUACCAGAUUUGAUACAACAAUUCGCAAGUUUUGAAAACUCAAAUCAAUCACUCAGAUCGUUCCAAUCACUAUUAGCUUUCAAGCGAGUGUAAAAAUAUCGAAAUUAAGAACAGGAUGUGUGAUUUAGAUUUGAAGUAACCAUGAAAUUUGCCGUUCGCUGUCUUUGACACCUUGUCUUUGAGGUCGUGUGGUUAUCACGGCGAGGAUAGUCGUUCAGUGAGAACAGCUUGUAUCUUAGUCGUUCUAAACAAAGCUGAAUGUUCGCGAAUAAAUAUUUUUAAAGUUUAGCGGUGAAAUUACAAGCUCUAGUGGUUUUCUGACGGCUUUAAAGUUCAACAUCCUUUGGAGUUGGGUCAUUGAGCCAUUGACGUAGGUAGACUAAUAGGCUAAGUCCUCAAUAUAUGUAAUGUUGUUUACGAGAAACACCGAAAGCACGCGAGCAAUGCGUCGAGAUCUUUCGUCCUUUACAACUUCAAGGGGCGACAAGUGACGACUGACGACGACGAGAGAACGAAGAUGAUUCGUGAUGCAGCUCAUGUCGCAAUCAUUAAAAGCAUUACAAAGCACUUUAUGAGCAGUGUGCGUGCGAGUAUACCAUAUCCUAUUAUUGACAGCACUUGUAAGUAACACGAGCCACGAACAUGUAACAUAGUUUAAACACAUAUAAAACAUCACUCGAUAUUAAGGUCACAAUCCAAGGACAAUACUCCGUCGAAGUGUCUGUACCUCUGUGGCAUUUGCUGCAUAGAAUAUACUGCUUAUUGAUUGUAAGACUUUAAUGCAAGAAAACAAAUCAACGCUGAACGAUAACAUGACUGGAGUAAGGGAAUACAUCUGCCUUCAUUUUGGUGCCGACGAAGCGCGCACGAC
rnacentral:misc_RNA from 1 species